GUCUCCUCGCAGCCUUCUCUUCUCCCAGCUAAACAAGCCCAGUUCCCUCAACCUUUCCUCACAGGAGAGCUUCUCCAGCCCUCGGACCAUCUUUGUGGCUCUCCUCUGGACCUGCUCCAAGAGCUCCAUGUCCUUGUGGUAAAGACCUCCAAGAUCCCCAAACCCAAUCCACUGCACCAUGCCCACUGACUGUGUCCCUCAGUGCCACAUCUCUGUGGCCCUGCAACACCGCCAGGGACGGUGACUCCACCACCUCCACCGAGUCAAAUGAAGUGGGUGCCCCAUCCCUGCAGACACCCAAGGUCAGGUUGGAUGGGCUCAGAACACUGAUGGAGCUGUGGGUGUCCCUGUGCAUUGCAGGGAGUGGGACCAGACGGCCUUUAAGGUCCCUUCCAACUCAAACCAUUAUUUGAUUCAAAAGACCAACCCAUUACCCCAUGGGCUUUAGGGCAGGGAUGCUCAUUAUCCCCAGGCAUCAUUGCUCAGAGCCCUGCACAGCUCUGAGUUGUAGAGGCUCAGAUAUAAGCUGCUGUGCAUUGAGCAGAAGAGCCCCCUGCUGCGGGGUGAAGCCCUUGGCUCCACGGGAGCUCCGAGCGGAUACAGAUCCUCACUUGAAUGCGUCAAUUUUUCACCUGGCAAAGGGCAGGGAAGGAAAUCACACAUUCAACUAGUCUUAAAAUCAGCUCACGUGACGCAUGUGCCCCUGCAGAGCACUUCUCCAGCGCUCACAACAACCGCGUUACUCAGCUGGCAUCACGUCUGCUUUGCUGUUUCCUGCCUUCUACACUCGGGAUGGUUUCCUGACCUGGUAACUGUAGUGUUAAACUUUUCACCUUCGGAGCACAGUGUAUGUUUGGGUAUUGCAGAUGCCCUUAGGGUUACAGUGAGUUUACUGAAGCUCAUCCACCAGAGGAUUUCUUUUCUGGAACAAAGUCUGGUUCUGAUCUCACUUACGUUUAAGUGGGCUCACGUUGCACCAGGGAAGGUUCAGGCUGGAUGUUAGGGAAAAUCUCUUCUCCAAAGAGCAGUCAGGUAGUGGCACAGCUGCCCAGGGAGUGGUGGGGUCACCAUUCCUGGAUGUGGCACUGAGGGACAUAGGCAGUGGGCAUGGUGGGGUGGGUUGGGGUUGAGCUUGGGGAUCUUGGAGGUCUUCUCCAACCUUAACAAUUCUAUGAUCCUAUGAUUCUAUAACUGGAUAAAGCCCUCCAUAAUCUGACCCAACCUGAGAGCAGCAGGUUGGAGCAGAGUUUUCCAAAUCCCUUCCAACCUGAGUCUUGAUCCUACAAACCUCUGUGGUACUUCUUUGUCCCACGUAUAGGAGAGAAGCAGCAGGUCUCUAAUACAGGAGAACAGAGAAUAAAGGGUGGGAACUUCAUUAAUACCUGAAGACUGACGCUGUUGAGGUUAAAAAGACACUGAGCAUUGCUAAACUGCAUUUUCAAAACAGUAAAGCUUUUCACAUUCAGAAUCUCAAAGCUUUUGAUAAACAAAGACAAGCACAAUCAUUCCCACAUCACAAAGCUAAAU
ensembl:lncRNA